rnacentral:rRNA from 1 species
UCGAACGGUAACAGGAAAAGCUUGCUUUUCGCUGACGAGUGGCGCACGGGUGCGUAACGCGUAUGCAACCUACCUCUAACUGGAAGAUAGCCCCGAGAAAUCGGGAUUAAUACUCCAUAGUAUAAUCGAUUCGCAUGUUUUGAUUAUUAAAGUUUCGGCGGUUAGAGAUGGGCAUGCGUUCCAUUAGCUAGUUGGUAAGGUAACGGCUUACCAAGGCGACGAUGGAUAGGGGGCCUGAGAGGGUAAUCCCCCACACUGGUACUGAGACACGGACCAGACUCCUACGGGAGGCAGCAGUGAGGAAUAUUGCGCAAUGGAGGCAACUCUGACGCAGCCAUGCCGCGUGCAGGAUGACGGCCCUACGGGUUGUAAACUGCUUUUAUAUGGGAAGAAACCCUCCUACGUGUAGGAGCUUGACGGUACCAUACGAAUAAGGAUCGGCUAACUCCGUGCCAGCAGCCGCGGUAAUACGGAGGAUCCAAGCGUUAUCCGGAUUUAUUGGGUUU